rnacentral:rRNA from 1 species
AUUGAACGCUGGCGGCAGGCCUAACACAUGCAAGUCGAGCGGAUGAAGGGAGCUUGCUCCUGGAUUCAGCGGCGGACGGGUGAGUAAUGCCUAGGAAUCUGCCUGGUAGUGGGGGAUAACGUCCGGAAACGGGCGCUAAUACCGCAUACGCCCUGAGGGAGAAAGUGGGGGAUCUUCGGACCUCACGCCAUCAGAUGAGCCUAGGUCGCAUUAGCUAGUUGGUGGGGUAAAGGCCUACCAAGGCGACGAUCCGUAACUGGUCUGAGAGGAUGAUCAGUCACACUGGAACUGAGACACGGUCCAGACUCCUACGGGAGGCAGCAGUGGGGAAUAUUGGACAAUGGGCGAAAGCCUGAUCCAGCAAUGCCGCGUGUGUGAAGAAGGUCUUCGGAUUGUAAAGCUCUUUAAGUUGGGAGGAAGGGCAGUAAGUUCAUACCUUGCUGUUUUGACGUUACCAAAAGAAUAAGCACCGGCUAACUUCGUG